rnacentral:rRNA from 1 species
CUGGGGUUGUCGAACUGAGAUUUAGCAAGGAGGGUUAAGUCGUAACAAGGUAUCUGUAGGGGAACCUGCAGAUGGAUCACCUCCU